CACGUAGGGGGCGAGCGUUGUUCGGAAUCAUUGGGCGUAAAGGGCGCGCAGGCGGCCGCGUAAGUCUGGUGUAAAAUGGUUGUGCUCAACACAAUCAUGCGCUGGAAACUGCGGGGCUUGAGUCAACGAGGGGAUGCCGGAAUUCCAGGUGUAGGGGUGAAAUCUGUAGAUAUCUGGAAGAACACCAGUGGCGAAGGCAGGCAUCUGGCGACUGACUGACGCUGAGGCGCGAAGGUGCGGGGAGCAAACA
rnacentral:rRNA from 1 species